rnacentral:rRNA from 1 species
UACGUAGGGGGCAAGCGUUGUCCGGAUUUAUUGGGCGUAAAGAGCGUGUAGGCGGCCAUGCAGGUCCGUUGUGAAAACUCGAGGCUCAACCUCGAGACGCCGAUGGAAACCGCAUGGCUAGAGUCCGGAAGAGGAGAGUGGAAUUCCUGGUGUAGCGGUGAAAUGCGCAGAUAUCAGGAGGAACACCCGUGGCGAAGGCGGCUCUCUGGCCUGUAACUGACGCUGAGGCGCGAAAGCGUGGGGAGCAAACAGG